UUAUAUUUGAGAGUUUGAUCCUGGCUCAGGAUGAACGCUGGCGGCGUGCCUAACACAUGCAAGUCGAGCGAACCCUUCGGGGUGAGCGGCGGACGGGUGAGUAACGCGUGGGUAACCUGCCCUGUACACACGGAUAACAUACCGAAAGGUAUGCUAAUACGGGAUAAAGUAUGAGAGUCGCAUGGCUUUUGUAUCAAAGCUCCGGCGGUACAGGAUGGACCCGCGUCUGAUUAGCUAGUUGGUAAGGUAACGGCUUACCAAGGCAACGAUCAGUAGCCGACCUGAGAGGGUGAUCGGCCACAUUGGAACUGAGACACGGUCCAAACUCCUACGGGAGGCAGCAGUGGGGAAUAUUGCACAAUGGGCGAAAGCCUGAUGCAGCAACGCCGCGUGAGCGAUGAAGGCCUUCGGGUCGUAAAGCUCUGUCCUCAAGGAAGAUAAUGACGGUACUUGAGGAGGAAGCCCCGGCUAACUACGUGCCAGCAGCCGCGGUAAUACGUAGGGGGCUAGCGUUAUCCGGAAUUACUGGGCGUAAAGGGUGCGUAGGCGGUCUUUCAAGCCAGAAGUGAAAGGCUACGGCUCAACCGUAGUAAGCUUUUGGAACUGUAGGACUUGAGUGCAGGAGAGGAGAGUGGAAUUCCUAGUGUAGCGGUGAAAUGCGUAGAUAUUAGGAGGAACACCAGUAGCGAAGGCGGCUCUCUGGACUGUAACUGACGCUGAGGCACGAAAGCGUGGGGAGCAAACAGGAUUAGAUACCCUGGUAGUCCACGCCGUAAACGAUGAGUACUAGGUGUCGGGGGUUACCCCCCUCGGUGCCGCAGCUAACGCAUUAAGUACUCCGCCUGGGAAGUACGCUCGCAAGAGUGAAACUCAAAGGAAUUGACGGGGACCCGCACAAGUAGCGGAGCAUGUGGUUUAAUUCGAAGCAACGCGAAGAACCUUACCUAAGCUUGACAUCCCAUUGACCUCUCCCUAAUCGGAGAUUUCCCUUCGGGGACAAUGGUGACAGGUGGUGCAUGGUUGUCGUCAGCUCGUGUCGUGAGAUGUUGGGUUAAGUCCCGCAACGAGCGCAACCCUUGCCUUUAGUUGCCAGCAUUAAGUUGGGCACUCUAGAGGGACUGCCGAGGAUAACUCGGAGGAAGGUGGGGAUGACGUCAAAUCAUCAUGCCCCUUAUGCUUAGGGCUACACACGUGCUACAAUGGGUGGUACAGAGGGUUGCCAAGCCGUGAGGUGGAGCUAAUCCCUUAAAGCCAUUCUCAGUUCGGAUUGUAGGCUGAAACUCGCCUACAUGAAGCUGGAGUUACUAGUAAUCGCAGAUCAGAAUGCUGCGGUGAAUGCGUUCCCGGGUCUUGUACACACCGCCCGUCACACCAUGGGAGUUGGGGGCGCCCGAAGCCGGUUAGCUAACCUUUUAGGAAGCGGCCGUCGAAGGUGAAACCAAUGACUGGGGUGAAGUCGUAACAAGGUAGCCGUAUCGGAAGGUGCGGCUGGAUCACCUCCUUUCUA
rnacentral:rRNA from 1 species